AACGCGAAGAACCUUACCAGGUCUUGACAUCCUCUGACACUCCUAGAGAUAGGACGUUCCCCUUCGGGGGACAGAGUGACAGGUGGUGCAUGGUUGUCGUCAGCUCGUGUCGUGAGAUGUUGGGUUAAGUCCCGCAACGAGCGCAACCCUUGUUCUUAGUUGCCAGCAUUCAGUUGGGCACUCUAAGGAGACUGCCGGUGACAAACCGGAGGAAGGUGGGGAUGACGUCAAAUCAUCAUGCCCCUUAUGACCUGGGCUACACACGUGCUACAAUGGAUGGUACAAAGGGCAGCAAAGCCGCGAGGCCUAGCCAAUCCCAUAAAACCAUUCUCAGUUCGGAUUGUAGGCUGCAACUCGCCUACAUGAAGCCGGAAUCGCUAGUAAUCGCGGAUCAGCAUGCCGCGGUGAAUACGUUCCCGGGCCUUGUA
rnacentral:rRNA from 1 species